UACGUAGGGUGCGAGCGUUGUCUGGAAUUAUUGGGCGUAAAGAGCUCGUAGGCGGCUUGUCGCGUCGGAUGUGAAAGCCCGGGGCUUAACUCCGGGUCUGCAUUCGAUACGGGCAGGCUAGAGUUCGGUAGGGGAGAUCGGAAUUCCUGGUGUAGCGGUGAAAUGCGCAGGAUAUCAGGAGGAACACCGGUGGCGAAGGCGGAUCUCUGGGCCGAUACUGACGCUGAGGCACGAAGGCCAGGGGAGCAAACGGG
rnacentral:rRNA from 1 species